rnacentral:rRNA from 1 species
UACAGAGGGGGCAAGCGUUAUUCGGAAUUACUGGGCGUAAAGCGUGCGCAGGCGGUCUGUUAAGACCGAUGUGAAAUCCCCGGGCUUAACCUGGGAACUGCAUUGGUGACUGGCAGGCUUUGAGUGUGGCAGAGGGAGGUAGAAUUCCACGUGUAGCAGUGAAAUGCGUAGAUAUCAGGAGGAAUACCGAUGGCGAAGGCAGGUCUCUGGGCUGACACUGACGCUCAUGCACGAAAGCGUGGGGAGCAAACAGG